AUUGAACGCUGGCGGCAGGCCUAACACAUGCAAGUCGAGCGGAGCGGCGGACGGGUGAGUAAUGCCUAGGCAUCUGCCUGGUAGUGGGGGAUAACGUCAGGAAACGGGCGCUAAUACCACAUACUAUCAGAUGAGCCUAGGUCGGAUUCGCUAGUUGGUGGGGUAAAGGCCUACCAGGGCGACGAUCCGUAACUGGGCUGAGAGGAUGAUCAGUCAAACUGGAACUGAGACACGGGCCAGAGUCCGACGGGAGGAAGCAGUGGGGAAUAUUGGACAAUGGGCGAAAGCCUGAUCCAGCGAUGCCGCGUGUGUGAAGAAGGUCUUAGGAUUGUAAAGCUCUUUAAGUUGGGAGGCGUUACCAACAGAAUAAGCACCGGCUAACUUCGUGCCAGCAGCCGCGGUAAUUC
rnacentral:rRNA from 1 species